rnacentral:rRNA from 1 species
GGCUUAGAGUUUGAUCCUGGCUCAGAUUGAACGCUGGCGGCAGGCCUAACACAUGCAAGUCGAGCGGAUGAAGAGAGCUUGCUCUCUGAUUCAGCGGCGGACGGGUGAGUAAUGCCUAGGAAUCUGCCUAUUAGUGGGGGACAACGUUUCGAAAGGAACGCUAAUACCGCAUACGUCCUACGGGAGAAAGCAGGGGACCUUCGGGCCUUGCGCUAAUAGAUGAGCCUAGGUCGGAUUAGCUAGUUGGUGAGGUAAAGGCUCACCAAGGCGACGAUCCGUAACUGGUCUGAGAGGAUGAUCAGUCACACUGGAACUGAGACACGGUCCAGACUCCUACGGGAGGCAGCAGUGGGGAAUAUUGGACAAUGGGCGAAAGCCUGAUCCAGCCAUGCCGCGUGUGUGAAGAAGGUCUUCGGAUUGUAAAGCACUUUAAGUUGGGAGGAAGGGCAGUAAGUUAAUAGCCUUGCU